rnacentral:lncRNA from 1 species
CUCUCUCUACACUCGCUCUCUCUCCCCGAACGAACUCCCGACGAACUCUCUCUCUGUGCCCUAGCUUUUUCCGACCGGCGAACCACCGCUAGCAACCGACAAACCAGGAGUAUACCGGCGAGACGACCACGAGCGACCGACCGGCGUGCGACCUUCCUCUCUGCCCUCCCUCUUUCCGGCUGGCGAACCACUGCGAGCAACCGACGAACGAGGAGGAUACCGGCGAGACGACCGCGAGCAACCGACCGGCGUGCAACCUCCCUCUCUCUGCCCUCCCUCGCUUUUUCCGACCGGCGAACCACCUCGCCACCCCUCCGGCUCCGGAUCUGGCCCCGACUCGUCCGUCCCCUGCUCUUCGCUGUCUGCCCUCCUUCUCUUCGCGGCGGACCACCGCGUGACCAGCGAACCACCGCGCCCCCCCCUCCAGCUCUAGAUCCGACACCGGCUUGUCUUGUACGCUGGAACUUGGUGCCCGACCGCCUCACACCCGCCGGCCUGUUGAUCUCCAGUUCCGCUCGCAUCACGAUCCCGCUCUUCUCUGUCUGCCCUCCCUCUCUUCGCGGUGAACCACCGCGUGACCGGCGAACUACCGCGCCCCCCCUCCAGCUCCAGAUCCGACACCGGCUUGUCUUGUACGCUGGAACUUG